AAAGCAGAGUCCUGAUUGGACUCAGGAGGUGGGCGGGCGCCCUGACCAACUGGGCGGCCGCCCAGGGUCUGGCCCCGUUUCGCCUCCGCUUCGGUCUCGUGGCUUCUGGAGUCUUCUAGAUGUAAGAUAAUUGCGCAGCACGUUAAUACCUUUACGUAAUCCUGACAUGUGGGCCUUUCUUCCAUAUUUCCUGAUAACCCCCUGCAGAAAUAGACAAACACCAAAACUCGUGGAAUUCUGUCAGAUAAAACCCUAAGUCUAGAUCUUGAUUUCAAUUGGAUCCUUUUCUUUAUUUAUUUGAUAAUUAAAUUUGAUACUUAAGGACCGUCAACAAACUCCCCCAAGCUUACCUCUUGCUCGUCCCUGAGCAAGGAUAGACUUAGCUAUGGAUCAUAAGUUGUUGCAAUAUUUUUAAAAAAUAGACGGUACACAUGCUUUUAAAUAAGAUCUCAUCUGUGAGUUAGAGUAAACUAUCAAGACUUAAAACUUACUUACUUUACCUCCACCAUGGGACUUCUAACUGUCACUUCCGUCUUGAGUGGUUAGAAGAUAGAACAGUCUAGCCAAGUGCCAUGUCUCUUAUUCUUGAUGAGCUAUAGCUCUGGGGUUUUUGCAGAUUUUCAAAUAAAACUCAGAGAUUCCUUGUAUGAUUCUCUCAGAUCUCUCUUUUGUGGUAUUUUUGGAUCCUUACCAAGGCAUUGAUGGUAUAUGCCUUCUCUCAAGAUAUGUAGUAUUUGUGGUAUAAGGCAUAGUGACAUUGCCUUCUCUCUCACCCUACUCUAAUAAGGCUUUAAUAUCUGGAGCUCAUAGGUGGGAGAUAAAAUAUACAUACUUACAAGACAUUUAUUAUAUAGUCAAACCAUGGAUCCAAAGAAACAAAUCAAUAAGUCAAAUCAAGAUGUGCAUGUGUGGCGAAUGAAUGGUGUAUGGUGAUGAUGGUGAUAACAAUGGUGAAAACAAUGGUGGUGGAAGUCUAAUUCUACUUUGCUCUUUUGAGGGGAUACAUACCUUCCUUGCUUUUGAAACUUUAUGAGGAGAAUGAGAAGCUCUUCUUUUUCUUUUCUCUCAGGUGGGUAUCCUGUACCCCUAAUUCUACUAUCGGACACUUGUCCAUUUUUACCUCUCGUCUCACUCUUUCUUUUCUUUCGAGGUUCCGAGCACUUGCUCCUUUUUAUUUCCUCGUAUAUUUUUUUUAUUUUCUUAUUUUUUUUAGAGCACUCAUCUCUUGAGAUAAUAUAGCAAGUGGUAGUAACAAGAUAACUUGAGCAUUUAUUUCACAAGGGGAAACAGAAAUAUUUUUGGUUAUUCUCUCCCGGAUUAGGAGCAGAAUAUUUUUGGGUGAUUCUGGUGAUGGAAAUGGAUGGAUAUAUGUGGAUGGUACUUCUGGAGUAGAAGUAGCAUAUAUGAGUGAACGUGCAAGUGAAAUCUUGAUUUAACCACAUGACAAGCUCCUAAGGGUCUACACAGCUUGACCACACUAAAUGCUCAUAAGCAGUAAAUAGUAAAUGUGUGGCUCAAAGUCUAGCAAGCAUGUAUAUAUGGCUGUGGUAGGAAUUUAAGCUCUCAUCAUACAGGAACUCAUCAUGCAACAUUUUAAAGAUUUUCAAAGAUAAAAUUCUCCAGAAUUCUAGCAUCUCUAGGAACAGAUAAACAGCAGCUCAACCUUCCCAUAUCGUAUCCGUUAACAACUUAGACUUCAGAUCAAGUUUUCAUCCCACAAGUUUAGGUCUAGGGCAAGCUUUAAAUUAUAACAGUUAUAUCUAAACUUGAGAGAGAACUUAAAAUUUGCAAAUUAGACAGAGCAACUAUUUGUCAUAUCCAUGCUUAAAUUUUAUUUAGAUACAGAUUAGCAUAGCCACUUAAACACACUAAGCAAAAGACAUAUAUAAGCAUAAAAUCUUUAUUUGGUUUUCCCAUAUUUUAUGUGUAUUUUAAUAUUCUAAAAUAAUAUAAGUAUAAAAAU
rnacentral:lncRNA from 1 species